AUCCUUAAAAAAGUUCAAGGAAAUUGCAGCAGAGCAGACGGAAUCGUACUAACACAGGGGCACGUCACUCAGGCUGCAGCGCUGAUUUAAACUGUCCAUUCUCUCAAACGAGGGCUUUUUCAACUUUCACGAUGGUUGUGAAAGUGCACGUCACUUACUGUUGUGGAUGAGGGUUUGGGGGCAAGUUCACAAGAUUCAAGGAACAACUUUUGAAGAAGUUUCCUAAUGAUCUUGAGAUCACCGGAGCGACCACACCAACCAGAUCCUCAGAAUUUGAGGUGGCGGUGAAUGGUGUGCUGGUCCACUCUAAGAAGGGUGGAGAUGGCUUUGUGGAUAAUGACGACAAGAUGGCUGUUAUCUUCAAAGCCAUAAUGGAGGCCCUUAAAAAGUGAGGGGCUUUUCAAUUGGAG